rnacentral:lncRNA from 13 species
CCCAUCACUGACAAAGCAAACAGUCAUGAGGACCCCAACAAGUAUGUAAGCUGUGAAAACGGACUUCCUCCUAUAGAAGAAAAAUGCAUCUGAUAUCAUCUGAUAUACAGGAUGCAUAAAAAGGACAGCAUCCAUGGUGAGUUCCACACAAUGAAUUAGGAAACAGAAAAUUCCCCAGAAUUCCAGUCUGUUUUAUAGAAUCUGAGAGCAUACCGCCAACAGUAAGAGCCACAGAAUAUUAAAAAUAAAAAGCGACAAAGAUAUUAAAAACCAGAGCAGGAAACCAAGUUUAUGACAGUUAUGAAGAUGCAAACUGAAGGGAG